AUUGAACGCUGGCGGCAUGCUUUACACAUGCAAGUCGAACGGCAGCGCGGGCUUCGGCCUGGCGGCGAGUGGCGAACGGGUGAGUAAUGCAUCGGAACGUGCCCAGUAGUGGGGGAUAGCCCGGCGAAAGCCGGAUUAAUACCGCAUACGACCUGAGGGUGAAAGCGGGGGACCGAAAGGCCUCGCGCUAUUGGAGCGGCCGAUGUCGGAUUAGCUAGUUGGUGGGGUAAAGGCUUACCGAGGCGACGAUCCGUAGCUGGUCUGAGAGGACGACCAGCCACACUGGGACUGAGGCACGGCCCAGACUCCUACGGGAGGCAGCAGUGGGGAAUUUUGGACAAUGGGGGCAACCCUGAUCCAGCCAUGCCGCGUGCGGGAAGAAGGCCUUCGGGUUGUAAACCGCUUUUGUUCGGGAAGAAAUCCUCUGGGCUAAUACCCCGGGGGGAUGACGGUACCGGAAGAAUAAGCACCGGCUAACUACGUG
rnacentral:rRNA from 1 species